AUUAAACUUUAACAGCAUUGCAUUACAGGCAUUGCAUUCAUCUUCCUUAUUUAUUCCAAGUGUUCUUUCUGUGGAAAAUGUCAGCAAAAAUAGUGAUUAAAAGCAUUUUAUUAUUAUUAUUGUAUCCAAAUGACAAGAUGUGGAGAGUUAAGUAUUCUUCAGCGAGAGUCACUGUCAAUGUUGACAUUCACAUCUACAAUUUGUUUGUCCUAAAACCUUUCAUUUGUUUUAAUGCAAUGUUCAUUAUUAGUUUAAAAGGAUUUAUGUUUAUUGAACUUGGUAAACAUGAAGGAACCACAAAGUAACCUUAAUAGCUAGUUUGCAGUGUUGUAGUCAAGACCACCUAAACCAAGACCGAGUCAAGGCCAAGACCAGCGCCCCGCAUUACAUGACACGAUAAAAUGUGAAAUAUGAUCAAAAUUGCUUCUCAAAUUGAUCUGAAAGAUCCACAUUCUCCUAAAAACACCUAUAUAUUAAAUGCUUAGAGCUGAAAUAAAUUAUAAUUAGCAAUUCAAACUCUUCUUUGUUCUGCUUUGCUUCCAUCUCUGUGCCACAAUCUGCAGAGGUCUCAUGUCGCCCCUACUUAGAUAAGGCCCUGGGUGGUUGCUCAUAUGGCCAGUGUCAGAAACCACAGCUGUCUGCACCAUUAAACAUAGCAAUCAUGACAAUGCACAAAUGGUAAACAACGCCAAACUAUGGGUGUAUGGGGUUCCCUGUAGGAGCCAUAUAUACAUUUUGGAACUUAAUACAAAAUGUUAUUUUGUGUUUACGUGAAUUUAAUUUUUUACUCUGCUAUUUGAAAAGGAUAAGCAUCUGUAAUUGUAUUGUGCUUAAGCUUAUUACGUGGUGUCUUUUGAUUGGUUAUUGACUAAUUAGUUUAUGAAAGAUGAAAGUACUUGCUCAUUGUAGAAGUCUGGUCACUUUCUAUUGGUUGUGAAUCUGUUUGUUAUUUUUAUUUUCUCUUAAAUUCAGUAAAGACUUAAAGAUG